UGACAAAAGAACGGGGACUUGACGGACGGCCGCCCGCCUACAAGGACGCGGCCGAAGCCGUCAAGUCUUUGCAUGACAAAAACAAUACUUUACCACUUUCAUUACACGCCCGUCUUCACGUAAGAUUUUUUUUUAUUGGGGGGGGGCGUGUUGGGAUUAAGCUAACUAAAAGCAAUUAUAUUCCAUUGGCGGAUGUUUUUCAUUAAACCUUCAGGAAAUGAUGAUUAUAUUUGAUUGAAACCUGCGUUUGUACAGGAAAAUUUCGUAGUGUCUAGUAAGGUCACACUUACAGGGCGCCAGCCUGCGACCAAACGGUCGCAUUUUGCGACUAAAAGCCAGUACGAGUACUAUUUUUCAUCUACAUGCACAUGCUCGACCAGUACGACAGACUAUAAGGGCCAAAAUAAAAACCAAUAAUAGGGAAUGGGACGUACUACGUCAUUGUUUGGACGCGCCUCCAUGCUGGCAAUAUGAUUCACUUCCGGGUCGGCAGACUCAAUGCGGAUUGUAACGUGUGGUCGUGCUAAGCUAACUCUUUCGGUGUUUUAGAAAGAAAUUAUGGGUGUGUAUUGUUGUGUUACCGGGUGCAACAGCUUCUCCUACGACUAAAAAAAGGGCGAGGAAAACUGGACUCACUUUUCACCGUUUUCCUGCAUGGAGGACCAAAUAUCAGAUCGCGAAGGCACGACUGAUGGCUGGAUUGCAGCGGUUCGUCGGAAAAGCAUUUCUUAUGAUCAUAUUUCUGCUGGAAUGAGAGUAUUCCCCUCAUCUCUACUCUUGAAAACCUGCAUAUGAAAUGCUGACAACACAUCCCGAUUGGUCACCAUAUCUCUUCUUGGGUUAUUCUGAGGUCAGGCGCACCACAUCGGAGCGUUAUGAGAGGUUGGAAAGGCGAAGAGUGCACGCUGAAACUUCAGUUUGCUCUGCUCUUACAAACACGAUCCUAAGUGUUGUUGUGAAAAGUCAAUAAAAUAUGAAUACCAAAACAUGA